UUGUUAUGUCAUGUCAUGACUGUAUGACUUCAUUUAAGCAGACUUAUUUGGUCUUUUGAAAUCUUCAAUUCAAAGCAUGAAAGCAACUAGAGAUUUCAAGAAUUGGACCUGAAGAUAUUGAAUAAAACACAGCAGGAAUUCUCAGUGGAUCAAACAGAUCCAUAAAUCCAGUGAAUUUUCUCCUAAAAGCUCCACUCAAGGCAAUUUCUUUUGGUUUGUAAGAUGAUUUCCUGGAUUUGAGAACAAGGUCUUUAAUGGAUGAAGAAAGUUCUUGGAGCUCUUUACGGGUAGUAUUGAUGACAUCUUCUUGUUCUUUGUCUAAUUUAUCUUUCAAGGGAUCAUCUCCCUGUCCAGUCUUCUUAUUUUGAUUAACUAACUGUUUUACAACCAAACCCUGAUACUUUACCAAAAGAGUAUGCUGAUCCUGUGAAAAGAGAAAAGAGAAGUUAACAAAUCCAUGAUUUGAUUUUCCAUGGAACUAAGUAGAAUUUAUUCAACCUAUACUCACUGAUGGUCUUCAUUAUUACAAAACUUUGGCUGUGUAAGUUUAAGAUUGAAUCUAUCAAGGUCCCUGGUCACACACAAUUUACAGUUAAGGGAAGAUAAAGUAUGAUCACAGAUCACUCUACUGUAAGUUGAUUUACCUAAGUUCCAUCACCAAAGAUAAUGUGAAAGUGAAAUGGAAGUUCAAAGAAGGCAAACUGUUUUUAGCUGCAAAGUGUCUCAGAAGAAUGUGUGCAGGAUAAGACUUUUCGAGCUGGUUUUUAAAGGGGCAGGUUAAACCUCCAUAAGCAGACUGGACUUAACUGCAACAUUUUUAAAAGCCUAAUUUCCAAAUUUACACUAUUCUUUCCCAUAGAUCUAGAAGGAUCCUUAAAGAUUCUUGAGUUUUACUAAUUUACUGCUGCCAUUCCUGGAAGCAGGAAGAUGAUAUUAAUAUGUUUUGUGUCUUAGAGUUUACAAUGAUUCACAUCUAUUCACUCAAAAUAUUAAGAAUCAAAAAGCUUUAAAAAUUUCAAAUGUACUAAAAAUGUAAUACCUCUGGAAUUCUGCUAUUAAGAAAAGCAAUGAUCUGUGGGACACAUCUUCCAGGUGCAUGGAGCAUGCUGUGGGUUGAGAACUGAAAUAAUAGGACUGAUGUGAGGUGCAGAAUAAGAGCAGGGUCUUCAGUGACUUUUAGCUGUUCAGACAGUGCUUGUCUAUGCUGGAACAGUAGUUGCCUUAAAAAAAGGAAAAUCACAAAAAUAGGUUAACAUAUUUUAGUGAAUUUUUACCAACUGGACUUUUUUUAUUAAGUUCUUCCAUUCUAUAUAAACUGUUAGCUUCUCUAGUUUAAUUAUACAACUUAUUUCCAUGAACAUUUUAAGGGAUCUUUUAGAUAUCAGACACAGAAACACGUUAACUGUAAAUGGCAUGAUAAAUAUGCUAAAAAAUCACAGAAACAGCUGGGUAUCAAGGUUAUUCAAAGUAUACUUUUUAUUUUUGAGUUGUUGAUUAAAUAGAACUGCAUUGGUUUAAAUAAGUUUUCUUCUAAUGUAGAUCUCAAAGCUAAGAAAAAGCUCCAAGACUUGAUCAACUAAAGGUUUAAGGAAUUCUGAGACUUGAUUAAGAUAGGCCAGAGAAGGACAUCUAAGUAUAUUAAGAUUAAAUAUGCUUAAAGUUCUACAGCCAUUUAGAAACAAUAGUUCUCUCUGCAAGAUUCAGACAGUCAAAUUCCAAUAUCAGAUAUGAAAUAUCACACAUAGAAUUAACAGUAUAGAGCAAUUCAAUAUUACCUUUCCCUCUUUUUGUCUCCUCUUUUCAUCAUAAUAUCACAAGCUUCUGCUGCAGCAUCCAGACAAGAAAGAAAGUCUUCUAUGCUCUGAAAAGCUCUGACCUACAGUGGACCUAGAAUAAUGAGAAGAGGAGGAAGAGGAGUCUCAGGACUAUUUCAGAAGUCAGAGAAUCCAACAAACUAAGAUUUCAAAACAAAACAUCAAGAGUGUCAAGAAAAUCACAACAUACUUCACUUGUAAUUGUUGCAGGAUCUUCUACCGCCAUCAUUAAAUCCGAAGCUAAGAAGUUGAAAAUGAGGUUUGAAACCUCCUCUUGCAAGUCCUUGAUUGUGCGCUUUCUGCCAGUUCCAGAGGCAGAGGAAGUUGAAGACAUGAAUACUGAACGUAUCACCUCAAGGGAGGACUCUCUGAGGAACUGACAUUUAAAGUUGAGCUCUCAAUGACAAGAAGAAACCAGGAAAUUGAAGUUUGGGAGAGAACAUGCCAGGUAGAGGGCACAGCUAGUGCAAAGACCCUGAGGUGAAUGUGGCUGGAACAGAGAAACUCCAAAGUCCAGUUUUACUUGGAUACCUGAGAUUACUAGAAAGGAAAUGGUGUUAAUUCUUACCUGGGCCCAGAGCGAUGUGUGUAGGACAUUACUGAAGAUUUAUCCAUUUUUUAUACAAGAACCGGGGUACAGACCAGAUGCACGGAAGGGCAAGAGGACCCACCAGAGACAGAGUGAGGAACAGAACAGGCAGACUGACGAAAUACACUGCUGAGGGGAGCAGCAGGCGAGAAAGAAGAGGCAUAUACAACUUGCUAUUUUGGAGCUCCCUGUUAUCACAAUAAUUCAUUCUGACAGUACCUUGACAGAUGGGACUCCAGUUUUUCUGCUAGAGAAACUUGGGGAUUUUUGCUUCCAGCAAUAUGAAGGGCUCCAUCACCUAUGAAAUGUACUGAAUAUAAUGUAACAAUUUUUUAACAUUCACAAGGAAACACCUCAUUGUCUAAAAGUAAAGAAAAUGCAGGAAUCUGGGUUGGUAAUCCAAUGCUGCAUUUGUGGCUGCAUGAAGGUAUUUUCUGGUACCAGGAGAUUUGGUUUUCUUGGCUGAAAUAAUACCUUGUACCUUGUGAUUCUAUAGCCAGUUCCUCCAAAGGGAUAUUUUCUCAGAAUAGUCUUUCGGAAAAGAAGGUCUUCUCAUCAGCAAAGGUACAUGACACUUGUUCAUCCUUGGCUCAAGCUUUAGAUAAGUGAAUGAUAGUACUGUAUUUCUUAGCAAUUCCUAAGUAUAAUCCUGACUUCAUGUGAAGUUGGUACUUUGAUCUAUAUAAUCCCAAACUUAGAAAUUAUUAUAAUUUCUGGCAGAAGUAAGUAAAAUUACUCUCUAGAAAAUUCACUUUUAAGAUAGUUCCCCUUAUUUCCAUAGAUUUAGAUUAACUGAGCUCAGAAUUCAAAAUUUUAAAACACUGAAGGUACCAGUCAUGAAUGAGAAUCAGUACGAGCAAACAAUAGUUAAAAGCAUGCUAGAAUAUCAAUAGGAAUUUUGUUUUUUGUUUUUUGUUAUUUUGGUUUGCUUGUUUGUUUGUUUUUUACCAUGAAAGAGACAUAUAGGUUUAUAGGUUAAGAGGAAAACAGAAUUAAAAUGGAACAAUCAGGAGAAAUAAUUGAUGGAACUCCUGUAGUUCAUUGGAAGAGAGGCGGCAAGCAGAGGUCAAAGGACCCAUUCUUCCCCUGAGGAAGGGAAGCUUAUGUUGAAAUGCUGAAUUAGAAAUAGGAAAGACCUUCUUGCAUUCAUGGUUCAAUUUUCUCAAUAUUAUAGGAAGACCAUAGGAGGUGAGAGUGGAUAGUGAAAUUGGUAGCCUGAGUACAUGGGAACAGUUUGUAUUCUGCAGGAAGGAUACAGUGAUAAACAAGAAAGAGAGAAGGACUGAUGAUCAGUGUCGAGAGCCCAAGUAUAGACAUAGGGAUUUGAAAUACAUUCAUUCUGUGAGAUUGUGGCAUUUUCUGUUACCCAUGGAAAGAUGGAAAAGCUAUAAAAAAGCAAUUACAGCUAAAGUCAUUUAAACCAAGUGCAAACAAAUAACUGGAAUUCUUGCAUCAAGAUAAAAAUGAAAUUUUAUUCAAUAU